UUAAUCCUGAGAUGUACGCGAAGCUUAUUAAUUUUAACCUACAUGAGAAAUACGGGAUUUGCAAAACAGCUAAUGAAAUCGGGCUUCAAGUUUUACUUCACUUUUGUGACGGAAGAUGAUAGAGUUAGUUUGCGUAAAACCCACCUGCGAGAGGCAGGUAUAAAAUUGUAAGUGUGACGGCAUAUUUGGGAACAUU
rnacentral:other from 1 species